UCGUCCACAACAAGAUGGUGCAUGGUGGUUGGCGCUGCGACGGCGUCGUGCACGGCAAGGUGUUGCGGGCGAUCCGCGAGAGGAACUGGCGGUUUAGCAUGACAAGAUUAGGGAGGUGAUUGUUAGCACUAAUCUUGUCAUGAUGUACCAGCAUGCAUGUUUAGUUUUGAGUUUGCAUGUAGUUUAGAUGAUCUAGGGCAGUGUAUGUAGGCCAAUGAUACUUCAGCUACGGGCGUGAAGAAAGCGAGAUGUCGGGCUGCCGUGCGAUGCGGUGAGCACGGCAAGAUGCCGAUGAUGUCGUGCGAUACGGCGAGGCUGUGAGAAGCAGCGAGACGCGACGAAGCUGGAGGAUGAUGGGCUGCUCGUUCAGGUUGAGCCGAGUGAUUUGGCCAAGCCGUAGUUAGUUAGAGUGUGCUGGUUGGUUGUAGCUAGCUAGCUUCGUGCAUGAAGUAGUAGGCCACGUUGAGACAUGGAGCUAGUUUUAGAUAUGGCCGAGUCGUGUGGCCGUUGGAGUGAUUUCAGGAGUAGGAUAAGGCUGUUAGUGCAUGCAUAGAUUAGUGGGAUUAGUUGCCGAGAGAGGUGGCUGGCCAGUGCGUGUAUGGUCCUUGUAUAUAUAUGUUUCAGUGGAGUAAUGAAGAGAGGAGGCCGAGAGGGCUGAGCAGAGAAACCAUGUAGCCAUUGUGGUUCACCAAGGGAGUGUCUCUGGCAAAGCCGUUCCUCUUCCUUGGUAUAUGCGUGCGUGUGUGUGUGUGUGUUCAUGAGAGAGUUCUUGAGAGAAAACACAAGAGAAUUGUGUGAGAGGGAGAAGAGAGUUGUGAGAGGCAACUCGAGGUAGAAGAAGGAGCGGCGCUGCGAGGAGGCGGCGCCAACAAUUGGCAUCAGAGCCUUGUUGAUCCGUGGCGGCGACGACGGUGCCGGCGGCUAUGGUGGCCGGCGUGGCGCUGGGCGCGAGGUGAUGGCUGGCAGCGGCGCGAUGCCGCGGGCGGCCGGUUGCGGUGCGAUGCCGCGAGAUGAAGGUGGUGCGAUGAUCGGCGUCGCGAGGACGUCAUCCACGACAAGAUGGUCCAUGGUGACCGGCGCUGCGACGGCGUCGGUUGUGGCGCGACGGACUUCAUGCGAGAUGGAGGCCGACGGCGCAAGAAGGAGGAUGGUGGCCAUGCGGUGCCGCUAUGUGAAGAUGGCGGUGCGAAGCUGCCACAAGAAGAGUCGGCGUGAUGCCGACGACGGUGGUGUGAUGCCAUCGUCAUCAUGGAAAGUUGGUGUGAAGCCAACAAAAGUUGCGGUGCGAUGCCGCUUGGCGAAGACGGCGUGGUGAUCGGCGCUGCGACAGCGUGGUCCACGUCGAGAGGAGGCCGCCACGAGCGGCAAGUCGGCAUGGUGACGGACGCUGUGAUGGGGUCGUCCACGACAAGAUGGUGCAUGGUGGUUGGCGCUGCGACGGCGUCGUGCACGGCAAGGUGUUGCGGGCGAUCCGCGAGAGGAACUUGCGGUUUAGCAUGACAAGAUUAGGGAGGUGAUUGUUAGCACUAAUCUUGUCAUGAUGUACCAGCAUGCAUGUUUAGUUUUGAGUUUGCAUGUAGUUUAGAUGAUCUAGGGCAGUGUAUGUAGGCCAAUGAUACUUCAGCUACGCGCGUGAAGAAAGCGAGAUGUCGGGCUGCCGUGCGAUGCGGUGAGCACGGCAAGAUGCCGAUGAUGUCGUGCGAUACGGCGAGGCUGUGAGAAGCAGCGAGACGCGACGAAGCUGGAGGAUGAUGGGCUGCUCGUUUAGGUUGAGCCGAGUGAUUUGGCCAAGCCGUAGUUAGUUAGAGUGUGCUGGUUGGUUGUAGCUAGCUAGCUUCGUGCAUGAAGUAGUAGGCCACGUUGAGACGUGGAGCUAGUUUUAGAUAUGGCCGAGUCGUGUGGCCGUUGGAGUGAUUUCAGGAGUAGGAUAAGGCUGUUAGUGCAUGCAUAGAUUAGUGGGAUUAGUUGCCGAGAGAGGUGGCUGGCCAGUGCGUGUAUGGUCCUUGUAUAUAUAUGUUUCAGUGGAGUAAUGAAGAGAGGAGGCCGAGAGGGCUGAGCAGAGAAACCAUGUAGCCAUUGUGGUUCACCAAGGGAGUGUCUCUGGCAAAGCCGUUCC
rnacentral:lncRNA from 1 species